AUCACCGUCUCUUUCUUCUCUAUGUUCACAGAGAAGCCAACCCCCAAAGAACAGCCACGUUCCAGACCACAUCCACAACCGUGUCACUCUCUCUUCUUUUCUCCCUCAACGCUCAACUCCCAACUUUCUCUAACCUCUCACUCUGUACACUAACACAAAUGGAUGCUGCCACCACCUCACGAUUUUUCGAUGAAAAAUAUGUCAAUUACUCGUCGGAUUGGACAAGACUAAGGCCACAUAUCACUUCCCCUUCAUCUUGAGGUUAGGAUUCGAGCACGGGAGGCUCGAAUUUGCCUCAAUUUCGCGAGAAACCACAAGCCCAGUUUUGGGCUAACAAGCUCAGGCCAUUAUCCGGCCACAACUUGGCCUAAAAAUGUUAACGAAUGAGUGGGCUCCAGUCCUACCACUUCAGCAUUUAACAGAAAAGUUGAUGGAGGUAUGACAUUGCGACAAAGUUAUAAGAUGAUGUAUAACAUUUCAAUGUUCAAAAUAUGGAGUAUGAGAUUAUAUGCGACUCAUAGUUGAGGUGGUUUUAUGUAAUUUAUCCUUUUUCUUUUGUAUUUUAAAUAAUAUUUACUUCU